AAGAAAAGGUCCCAAGGACACCUCCCAUCACCCCAGAAGCCUGAGUAGACUCUGUCCUGUGAGUUUCCCACCAUGGCCUGGACCGUGCUCCUGCUGGGACUCCUCACUUACAGCUCAGGUGUGGAUUCUCAAACUGUCACCCAGGAGCCGUCACUGUCUGUGUCUCCAGGAGGGACAGUCACACUCACCUGUGGCCUUAGUUCUGGGUCAGUCUCUAGUAGUAACCACCCCGGCUGGUACCAGCAGACUCCAGGCAAGGCUCCCCGCUCGCUCAUCUACCAUACAAACAACCGGUUCUCUGGGGUCCCUGAGCGCUUCACUGGAUCCAUAUCUGGGAACAAAGCCGCCCUCACCAUCACAGGGGCACAGCCUGAGGACGAGGCAGAUUAUUAUUGUGCUCUGGACAUGGGUAUUUAUACUUACACAGUGAUGUGACCCCAUGGGGAAGUGUGACUAAAUCCUCCUUCUGUGCUCAGAAUGGCUCAGCUUUAGUGACAGAAGGAAAGAGAGAGGGUGGGAAUGGUCAGCACACCAAGGGGAGGGGCUCCAGGGCCCCAUUCCCAUGUGCAGUGGC